UGUGUUCAUGACAGGCGCCCGUGCCAAGACC
rnacentral:piRNA from 1 species